GUUUACUCAAGCGGAUGACGGUUGGACCGGUUGGACCGGCCGGUCCGGUCCGGUCCAAACAACACUGCUUUCGGCUUCAUGGAUGCUCCAUCUACUUUUCCAAUAGCAAUGAAUGACUUACACAGACCUCACUUAUGGGAGAUUGUUCUAGUUUUCUUUGAUGACAUUCCUCAUUACAUACAAAUUUAUCCAAUUGUUUACUCUACUUGUAGAUUGCAUUAGACCUAUUAGGUAUGCAGCCUGGCCUUGACAAAAUUCAGGCCUUGGUGGAUUGGCAUGCAUCCACCUCGUUCACCCAUGGCACUUAAAGGUUUCUUGGGCUUCACAUAUUUUCAUCAUAAGUUUAUUAAAGAUUACGCCUUUCUCGCUAUUCAUCUCAUCGGUCUAAUAAAAAUCAUAGUUUUACAAUGUCAAUAAUGGCUCAUU